UCGGGACCGCAGCCUGGCCCCGCCCUCUCUCUGCCCAUUGGCCCCGCGCCAACACGUGAUAGCUCUCCGGGACGCUCCCUAUUGGACCCUGCCUUGAGCCCGGCUCUCCCCAGUUCAAUUCAGUGACAUUACACAGAGCCACCUGGGACCAGUGGCAAAAUAUGGGUCAGGACAACUGGAGGUGGCCCAGGAUGCAGGCCUGAGGCAGAGCUCAUCCAGUGAUUAAGGCUAGGAACCAGCCUAGCCAAGUAUGGAAAGGAUCCUUACUAGAAGACUGGCCACUAGGCGGUGAAUUCUUUGGACACUGUAUCACAGUAAGAAAAGAAAAUGCAAAACGGCCCUUAGUCCUAUUUUAGCCCCUGUCUACUACUCCAGCAGGAAUGAUAGCAGGAUGGCAUAAAAGAAAUAUAUCAUGUUAAAUUUGAAAUUACAGUUUUUAGAUUGUCAAUUUAAUUUAAAUUAAUGUUAAUGUUAGUUUAGAUUAAUAAUUUAAUUUUGGUACUCUAAACAAGUCGAUAUCACUGGAGGAACUGAAUCCUAUAAAUAUUGAUAUUUUCACCAUGAAUGAAAUGAGAAAAUGUAAGAGUUAUAACUACAGAUCAGGAUGUCUCACAGGUUCUUGUUGGAGAGGGCAAUAAAGGAACUGGCAAGUUGG